AGCAGCCGCGGUAAUUCCAGCUCCAAUAGCGUAUAUUAAAGUUGUUGCAGUUAAAAAGCUCGUAGUUGAAUUUCGGGAUCAAAGGAUCGGUCAUGCCUUGGUAUGUACUGGUUUUAUUGGUUCUCACCUUCUAAAGAACCAUAAUGUCAUUCAUUUGAUGUUAUGGGGAAUUAGGACUGUUACCUUGAAAAAAUUAGAGUGUUUAAAGCAGGCUUACGCUUGAAUACAUUAGCAUGGAAUAAUGAAAUAGGACAUCAGAUUCUAUUUUGUUGGCUUCUAGGAUCGAUGUAAUGAUUAAUAGGGAUAGUUGGGGGCAUUAGUAUUCAAUUGUCAGAGGUGAAAUUCUUGGAUUUAUUGAAGACUAACUACUGCGAAAGCAUUUGCCAAGGAUGUUUUCAUUAAUCAAGAACGAAAGUUAGGGGAUCGAAGACGAUCAGAUA
rnacentral:rRNA from 1 species